rnacentral:tRNA from 1 species
GGUCCCGUAGCUCAGUGGUUAGAGCGAUGGUUUUAUGAGCCGUCGGCCGUGGGCUCGAACCCCGCCAGGACUA